UACACUCCAACUCCAAAAUUGCGUUAUUUUUUAUAUCCUCAAUUUUACACUCUUCGUCAACCUUGGUAUCAUAAAUAAUAUUUUGGUCGAAUAGUUAGAAUUCCUCUUUCCGCUCCACAAGCUGGCCAGUAUCCACAAAAAUUGGUUGUAGGGCAUCAGACGCCUAACCUUUUUAUUCAAUUGAGCCUGCUGGUCAUGAAUAUCUGAGCCAAAUUGGUCUAUCUCUUGUCUGAGCUCAGUUCUUCCUUCUAUUAGUUGUUCUGUCAUGUUCAAAAGACUAUCAUGGAGAAACUCAUGAGAUUUUAUCAGUUGAGCUUGUUCUUCUAGCUAAGAUACGCUUACUAUAUCUGCUUCUUCAAAGCAAUCUUCUUGUGGGAACUCACUCUCUUC
rnacentral:lncRNA from 1 species